GAAAUGCUGCAGAUGUAAGAUCUCAAAUGAAGAGUGACUAUUGGUUAAAUCUAUGGGUAGCACAUGACAGAGCCUUGGCUGGCCUUGAAGUUGUGUAAUCGUGGAUGAGUUUCGAAUCAUGAUCCUGCUUCCACCUGCUAAAGACCGAGAUUACAGAUAUUCUUUCCUGAAGAUUGGCAUUCUGUUCAAGAUUCAGUCUAAUCUACAUCAGAUCCUAACAAUGAACCUUUUUAGCUACUAGGGAACUUACAGUAUUUCACAAAUAAUACGUGGCCACUAGUAUGCACAAAAUAUGAUGCUCUGUUGAUAGGUGAAGCUACCAGUGAGAAUUCUUGAAAAGAAGGUGCGCCUGAAAGAUUGAUUGACUAGAACUCCAGUGAUAUGGAGAAGUUGGAAUGUUGCAGAUCCAUAUCCUAGUUACCUUAUGUUGGGUUAAUUCUAGCUUCCUGAAUCCUUUGCUCACCUCUAUGUCAUAGCUAACUUCCUGUGACUAAUAAUUAACAACUAUUUGUAAUCUAUUGACUUAAAAGUCCACUGGUUUCUAUCAACCCAGAAGCUAAGAGUAUCAUAAGAGAGCAUCCAAGACUUAUCAAACAAACAAACAAACAAACAAACAAAACCCCUCCUUUUUGUAACUGACUCUCUGAUGUACCCAUUAAUGUGUUUUAAACUUGCCUUGAUUUAUGAAUUUCUUUGUUCUGCCACUAAAAGACCUCAUGAGACAUAUUCCACAUGGAAACAUGAAACCAGGAUAACCUAGUUCCAUGUUUUAUGGGUCACAGUACUCAAAUUUGGCUCUGGAGUAAACUACCUCUUUUUUUUUUUUUUGAGGUGAGUGCCAUCCCCCCUUUCUCUCUGUGUGUGAAUGUUUAUGUACAAUGAGUAAACUAGGCAAUAAGGAAGAUGAGAUGAAUUUGCUGGCAUUCUGUUCUUUGUAGCUUUAGGAACUACAGAGAGAGCCCAAGGUAGAUCUGUGUUGAAGAGCCCCUCCUAGAACCCAAGAGCUCAGAAAUCUUGGGAAUAGUUGGACAAUGAUGGGGAAGAAACCGAGGUAGAAAUAAUGGAAGAUACUCCUUAGAUAUAGUUGAUACUGAGGAAGGGAGAACCCAUCAUUUGCCAGGUAGGAGAGGCUUAAUAAUGGCUAGUAUCGAGUAACCAUCAUAAUCAGGGAGUACACCAUUUAUAAACUGUUUGAGUUAGGAGGUAGUUUUAAGCAAAUUGGCUAGAGAAUAUGGAGGAAAAUGGAAUCAGUCCUAGCUCAGUGGAAGUAGAGAAAUGGAACAAUGAAACUACUCAGCUAUCCUCAAGACAAAGACUUAAAUUUUGACUCAAUAGGAGAGAAAUUAAUUUUCUUAACAGGUGAAUAUUUCAUUGUGUAAAUGUUCCACAUCUCUAUUAUCUAUUCUUCAGGAGUCAGAAAUCUAGGUUCUUUCUGUUUUUGUUUUUGUUUUUGUUUGUUUGGGUUUUUUUUUUUUUUGGCUUUUAUGAAUAGAGAUCAAUGAACAUGAUGAGCAAGCAUCUCUGUAUUCAGAUAUAGUGUCCUUUGAGGAUAUGUCGAGGGUGGUAUAGCUGGAUCUUGCCGAAGAUUGAUUUUCAUCUUUUUAACGAAUUCCUACAUUGAUUUCUGUAGUGGCUAUAUAAGUUUUUACUUCCACCAGCAAUGAAUAAGUAUUCCUCUUCUCUCAUAUCCUCACCAUCACAAGUGAGAAUUUGCUUUGUUGAUCUGGGCUGUUCUGAUUCCAGAUGCCUUAAACAGGGCAAUAUCUGGGUCACUGCCUAAUCUCCAUGCUGUUAGAAUCUACCUCCCGCUGAUAAUCGCUGAUAAUCCUGGGUUAUCACUUACUAAAUUCUAUAUUUUUCCUUGGCUGCCCUGGACCCAGUUGGGCAGCCCUUUGGGCCUCUCUUUCCUGGCACCUUCACAUGAUGGCUAUGUGUAUCUGUCCUCCACUCUCCUCUGGCAUGGUGUCUUCUUUCCUCCAAACUCUCCCUGCAGAUCUCUCUCUUUCUCCUUUCUCUCUGUCCCCAGCCUGGUAAUUCUAAAAGUUCCACCUCUGCCUGCUCUGCCCAGCCAUUGGCUGCUGGAGUCUUUAUUUACCAAUCAGAACCAACUGGGGGCAGGGCCCCUCAGUGUCUUACAUGCAGACACUUGCAGUUUUGGGAACUAGAUUUAACAUUAUAACACAAGCAGCAUUAGGCCAAACCCACUACAUAUGUGCAGUUCUAAGUGAUAAAUUUAUUCCUGAGAAUAGAAAGGAUGAAAGCAGACUGAUUUCUAAGCAGGAAUUGAGAACACAGGGCUACAUGAACAUUUUAAAAAUCAUUUGGAAGGGACAAAUUUGAAAAACUUCUCAGACACAUCAGACCAAGGAAAUAGUGUAACUUGCUAAUAUUCAAUAUUAAAAAUUCCCUUGGAUACCUACUUUUCCUUUAAGUAACAGAAAUUCCAUAUCUUUCUUAUAGUACCAAAAGUUUACACUUCUUUUGCCAUUCUUGUAUGAACUUUUCUUCCAUCUACCACUUUGUUUAAAUAGUUAUAGGGAAAUUUUGAUAAAAGUAUAGGAUUCCUGCCCCUAACUUACUCUCACCAUAAUUUCUCAAUAUUUCUUUGUCUCUCUCUAUCUCUUUCUUCCCCCUGCUUCCCUUUUUUGCUCCCCUCCCCUGCCCACCCUCCACUUUAGGCUCUCUGUUUUAUGUCCAGGACAGGUGUCUCUCUUAUUUAUUUACUCUGUGCAAUCUCUUUUAGUGAAGCUCCUUUCUGAAAAUUAAAUGGAAACAUCUAUUUUCUUUAAAGGUCCUUCAUGUUGUCACUCAUAGGAUGCUCUAACCCUGGUAAUUGCUGUUUAAUUGCUGUCCACUUCAAAGUCCAACUAUAACUUCCAUGGCCACCAGGCUCUCUCCUAGUAAUCUCUGUCUGAAGGGCAGUCAAAGCCAGCUUUCUUCUUGGCCAACUGAUUUUAUAGUGCCCCCCUCCAUUAACCUGCUGAUAUUACUUCUGAACAAGAGAAUUUAAUCACACCCCCCACAAGACAAACAGAGUGGAUUCCGGUGUGUCUGGCCUCCAAACCAUUCCUUCUAGACCUCUCUGCUGUGAAAAGUAGGUUUAUUGACAUCAGCACCCUGGUUCAUGCCACUUAUCUUUACAAAACAAAUCCAAUGGGACAAAUCUUACCACAGAACAAAACUACCAAAAGUGAAUCAGCAAAGUCUUCAGAAAUAUUGUUGACACCAGGGGAGUGGGGGUGCUGGUUUUCAGACUGGAAAUGAUGAAGAGUGUCGUGACACUUUCCUAUAAUCCCAGGGAAGCUCAAGCAGGAAGAUUAUAAGUUUGAAUC